AGAGUUUGAUCCUGGCUCAGAAUCAACGCUGGCGGCGUGCCUAACACAUGCAAGUCGAACGAGAAAGUGGAGCAAUCCAUGAGUAAAGUGGCGCACGGGUGAGUAACACGUGACUAACCUACCCUUGAGUGGGGGAUAACCUCGGGAAACCUUGGCUAAUACCGCAUAACACCUACGGGUCAAAGGAGCAAUUCGCUUAAGGAGGGGGUCGCGGCAGAUUAGUUAGUUGGCAGGGUAAUGGCCUACCAAGACAGUGAUCUGUAUCCGGCCUGAGAGGGCGCACGGACACACUGGAACUGAAACACGGUCCAGACUCCUACGGGAGGCAGCAGUGGGGAAUUUUGCGCAAUGGGCGCAAGCCUGACCGAGCAACGCCGCGUGGAGGAUGACGGCCUUCGGGUUGUAAACUCCUUUUCUCAGGGGCGAGUAUACGGACGGUACCUGAGGAAGAAGUCUCGGCUAACUACGUGCCAGCAGCCGCGGUAAUACGUAGGAGACGAGCGUUGUCCGGAGUUACUGGGCGUAAAGGGUGCGCAGGCGGCUGGUCGCGUGUGCGGUGAAAUCUCCUGGCUUAACUGGGAGGGGGCCGUGCAAACGGGCUGGCUUGAGGCUCGGCGAGGGGCGUGGAAUUCCGGGUGGAGCGGUGAAAUGCGUAGAGAUCCGGAGGAACACCGACGGCGAAGGCAGCGCCCUGGACGAGACCUGACGCUCAGGCACGAAAGCUGGGGGAGCGAACAGGAUUAGAUACCCUGGUAGUCCCAGCUGUAAACGAUGUCCACCAGGUGCCGCGGGUAUCGACCCCUGCGGCGCCGCAGCUAACGUGAUGAGUGGACCGCCUGGGGAGUACGGCCGCAAGGUUAAAACUUAAAGGAAUUGACGG
rnacentral:rRNA from 1 species